rnacentral:rRNA from 1 species
AACGUAGGAGGCAAGCGUUAUCCGGAGUUACUGGGCGUAAAGCGCGUGUAGGUGGAUUGGUAAGUUACUUAUAAAAGCCCCUGGCUAAACUAGGGGAGGUUGGGUGAUACUGCCAGUCUUGAAUAGAGGAGAGGUUGACGGAAUUCCGCGUGUAGUGGAUGAAUGCGUAGAGAUGCGGAAGAACACCAGUGGCGAAGGCGGUCAACUGGCCUCAUAUGACACUCAGACGCGAAGGCAUGGGUAGCGAACGGG